rnacentral:snoRNA from 1 species
UCCCUCCAGAUUCUUUAUCCCGCAAACUUACAGAGUGGUUUGAAUGGGUUGAAAACUGAGGAAAAGGAAAACUAAAAUGGAAUUGGAGUGUUUAGUGACAAACAAGGUCAUCUCAAACAAGA